CUAUUCCUCACGCCGCACGGCCGCAGCACGCGCAUUUUAUAAUUACCGGAAGAUAUCUUCAACACCGCGACCGCGGCAGCUGCAAAGACCACUAUUCAGAGACAUAUUGCGUGCCUUCCAUUGCCUGACAGUCCCAGAGAACUGGAAAACAGCUAGCAUUCCAACAGCAGCAUUCCAACAGCAGCAUUCCAACAGCAGCAUUCCAACAGCAGAACUCCAAGCUGUGAAGAAACUGUGCCAGUUCUACAAUAUUGAAGAUAUUCAGACAUCAUGUCUAUAUAGAUGUUUGUGUCUCACUGUCACCCCUGCCAUAGCCACCAUCAUCCUAUCCCUAUUAAUGUUUUUUUUUUCUCAGAUAAUUUUACUUUUUUGAAUCUGGUAUUUUCUCUACCUGCAGCUCUUGGUGUGCAGCAGCCUCUGUGAGCAUCUCCCUCUUAUUUUCUUGGAGCAGUCAGCCUUGGCAGUCUCUCAGAUCAACUCCAGUAUUAGCAGCAGCAACAACAACAGCAAAGGCAGCAUACUCACUCAAGGAAUAUAGUAAGAUUUUACCAGAACAGGUAUCACAUUAAUGUAAAAAAUCUGUUGUAUUUGCUGUAAAAUAAAAUUGCUGUAUUUUUUCUGUUUGCUUUGUUUUUAUUAUAUUAAUGGAACUCUUGUAUUUUUGUAAUUCAGUUUUUGCCAUCAAAAUAGCCACAAAUGCUGACAUGGCAUUAAAUAAAACUAUACUCUACUGUACGAAACAUGGGCCACGCUUGAUUUUACUAUAACGUUUACUAUAGUUUUUACUAUAACGGCUGUUCUUAAUUAUUCUGUAUAACAGAGAAGAAAAAGCCAUCAGGUUGGUACAACUUAAGACACUUCAGUUUCUAAUUAUUCUGGACAGAAAAUAUUUUUUUAACUUUUAAACUUAAAAUUGUCUUUUCUGUUCUGUUUCUUUUCCAAAACUGCAUCACAGCAUUUGCUGCCGUAACAAUACAGAAUCAUCCGUAUCGGUACGCGAAUCAGCAAGGAAUGUGUCACAAUAUAUUACUGUAUUGAUAUUUUGAGCACCGCGCUAUUUAAAGCCUUGUUCCAUGUGCCCCUUUUAUACUUAGAGCACCUGCCCCUCCAAAGGUCUCUGCACGGCCCUGACACACACACACACACACACACUCAUGUUUGCAAAACCAUUUUUAUUAUAUAAAGUUUGAAAUUGCUAAAUAUUUA